CUGAUGGUAUAACUGGUGGUAUUACAUGUCCAAGCAACUGUAGCAGUAACACCAAUAAAAUCACAAAACUGUAUACAUUUUACUUAUGCUCGUUUAAUCCGUUAAAUAACUAUACAAGAAAAAUGGAUUACCUUUAUUAUAAUAUAUUGUUUGAAAGUACAUGGUAUUAUGAAUUUAUUUAUUAUAAUAAUAAACAAUUUAGUUUGCUAAAUAGUGAUAAAACUAAUAAUAUAUUAGGAACAGAAAAAAAACAUAAACAAAUAAAUAAAUGUAUAACUCUUUUAAACUAUAAUACUUUUAUUAUAUAUUCUUAUAAUAAGAUACUAAGAAAUAACAAUUUAACUUUUCCAAUAAAACAUACAAAAGAUGUGAUAAAAGAAAAAAUACAUGAACAGGUUUGCAUUUCUUCUAACAGUGGUUUAAUUCAACAUACAACAAGUGGUUUAUUACAUACGUAUAAUGAAGAAACAAAAAAUGUUAUGCAAAAAAAAUGAUAAAUUGAAAGAAGAUAUAUGUACUCCAAUUAUUAGUACGGUUUAUACAGUUUGUAGGCGUAUUGAUACAGACGUAGAUGUUAACUUGAGUAAUAAACACAGGGAUGUGAAAUUGUCUGAACAAUCAGACAAUCAGAGAAGUUCACAGCCGGACAAACGACAGAGUAAACAACCGGACAAACCGCAAAGUAAACAACCGGACAAACAGCAAAGUAAACAACCGGACAAACAACUGAGUAAACAACCGGACAAAACUAGUCUAGCUAAAGGUCUGACCAAAGAGAUAAAAAAAAAUUAUGUUAAAAAUAAUUAUAUAAAUAAAAAAAUAAAUAUAAAUAAUAAAAUGGUGACGGAAAAUGAAAAAAAACAAGUGGUAAAAAAACAAAAUACUAUAAAUAUAAAAAAAAUACCUUACACAAAAUUAAAAAUGAUUGAAAAAAAUAAAAAAGCAUUAAACUGUAUAAAAUACAAUAAAGAUACAAUUGAUCAAAAUAAUUUAAUUCGUAAUAUAAAAUUAAAAAAAAAUGAUUUUUCAAAUAAUAUUUUAAAUUUGAAUGUACAAACGAAAAGUGUUAAAAAUAAAUAUAACUUAAAGGAUAGUAAAAUAAAAAGUUAUAAAGAAGAAGAAGGAGAAGAAAAAAAGAAAAAUAAAAAAAGUUGUGAUUAUACGAAAUAUAAAUUAUUAAAGCAUAUGUUGCAAAAAAGGAAAGUAAUCGAAUUUAAUAAUUACCAAAAAACAAUAAAAGAAAAUAAUAUAAAAAAUAAACAAAAAUUAGAACAAUUAAAAAAAUAUGAAGACGAAAAUAAAAUAAAAGAAUAUUAUGCUUUUGUUUUAUCUGAAAUAAAACAUUUAGAAAAUGAAAUUUAUGAAUUAAAUAACAUUUUUGAAAAUGAAGAAAAAAAAGAAGGUAAAGUAGUAGUAGUAGUACAAGAUAGUGGGGUAUGCUCAACUGGUGAGGAAUACAAAAAUGAAAAGGCAACGAUAUUAGAUCAAAACAAUUUUAUAAAUAAAGAAAAAAUUAUAAAUGAGAGCAUUGAAGGUACGAUGCAAAUAUUGAAUAGUAUUAGGUUACCAAAGGAUGCAGCAAAAGGUGCAGCAAAAGGUGUAGCAAAAGGUGUAGC
ensembl:lncRNA